AGAGUUUGAUCCUGGCUCAGAAUCAACGCUGGCGGCGUGCCUAACACAUGCAAGUCGGACGAGAAAGUGGAGCAAUCCAUGAGUAAAGUGGCGACCGGGUGAGUAACACGUGACUAAUCUACCCUUGAGUGGGGAAUAACCUUCCGAAAGGAGGGCUAAUACCGCAUAAAGUCCAGAGGCUGAAAUGCCAUUGGACCAAAGGAGCAAUUCGCUUAGGGAGGAGGUCGCGGUUGAUUAGCUAGUUGGUGGGGUAAUGGCCCACCAAGGCGAUGAUCAAUAGCCGGCCUGAGAGGGCGCACGGCCACACUGGAACUGAAACACGGUCCAGACUCCUACGGGAGGCAGCAGUGGGGAAUUUUGCGCAAUGGGGGAAACCCUGACGCAGCAACGCCGCGUGAAGGAUGAAGGUCUUUGGAUUGUAAACUUCUUUCGUCCGGGAAGAUAAUGACGGUACCGGAAUAAGAAGCCCCGGCUAACUACGUGCCAGCAGCCGCGGUAAUACGAAGGGGGCGAGCGUUGUUCGGAAUUAUUGGGCGUAAAGGGAGCGUAGGCGGUUCGAUAAGUCACUUGUGAAAUCUCUGGGCUCAACUCAGAGUCUGCAAGCGAAACUGUCGGGCUUGAGUAUGGGAGAGGUGAGUGGAAUUCCUGGUGUAGCGGUGAAAUGCGUAGAUAUCAGGAGGAACACCUGUGGCGAAAGCGGCUCACUGGACCAUUACUGACGCUGAUGCUCGAAAGCUAGGGGAGCAAACAGGAUUAGAUACCCUAGUAGUCC
rnacentral:rRNA from 1 species